UACGUAGGGGGCAAGCGUUGUCCGGAUUUAUUGGGCGUAAAGAGCUCGUAGGCGGUUUGUCGCGUCGAAUGUGAAAAUCCGGGGCUCAACCCCGGACUUGCAGUGGGUACGGGCAGACUAGAGUGUGGUAGGGGAGACUGGAAUUCCUGGUGUAGCGGUGGAAUGCGCAGAUAUCAGGAGGAACACCGAUGGCGAAGGCAGGUCACUGGGCCGCAACUGACGCUGAGGAGCGAAAGCAUGGGGAGCGAACAGG
rnacentral:rRNA from 1 species